rnacentral:rRNA from 1 species
UACAGAGGUCCCGAGCGUUGUUCGGAUUCACUGGGCGUAAAGGGUGCGUAGGUGGUGAGGUAAGUCGGAUGUGAAAUCCCCGGGCUCAACCCGGGAACUGCGUCCGAUACUGGAAGGCUUGAAUCCGGGAGAGGGAUGUGGAAUUCCAGGUGUAGCGGUGAAAUGCGUAGAUAUCUGGAGGAACACCGGUGGCGAAGGCGACAUCCUGGACCGGUAUUGACGCUGAGGCGCGAAAGCCAGGGGAGCAAACGGG